GGCGAACGGGUGAGUAACACGUGAGUAACCUGCCCUUGACUUUGGGAUAACUUCAGGAAACUGGGGCUAAUACCGGAUAGGAGCUCCUGCUGCAUGGUGGGGGUUGGAAAGUUUCGGCGGUUGGGGAUGGACUCGCGGCUUAUCAGCUUGUUGGUGGGGUAGUGGCUUACCAAGGCUUUGACGGGUAGCCGGCCUGAGAGGGUGACCGGCCACAUUGGGACUGAGAUAUGGCCCAG
rnacentral:rRNA from 1 species